rnacentral:rRNA from 1 species
CCUACGGGGGGCAGCAGUGAGGAAUAUUGGUCAAUGGCCGGAAGGCUGAACCAGCCAUGCCGCGUGAAGGUCAGUGCCCUAUGGGCGUUAAACUUCUUUUGUGCGGGAGCAAUAAUGGUCACGUGUGGCCAGACGAGAGUACCGUACGAAUAAGCAUCGGCUAACUCCGUGCCAGCAGCCGCGGUAAUACGGGGGAUGCAAGCGUUAUCCGGAUUUAUUGGGUUUAAAGGGUGCGUAGGCUGUGAGGUAAGUCAGCGGUGAAAUGCCCCCGCUCAACGGGGUGAAGUGCCAUUGAUACUGUCUUGCUGGAAUGCGGAUGCGGUGGGAGGAAUGUGUGGUGUAGCGGUGAAAUGCAUAGAUAUCACACAGAACACCGAUUGCGAAGGCAGCUCACGAAUCCGCGAUUGACGCUGAUGCACGAAAGCGUGGGUAUCAAACAGGAUUAGAUACCCCUGUAGUC